CGCUUGCGGAUCAUUUUCUAAUUGCGUUACCAAAUAUCAACAAGCAUUUCUAGCGCCGUUGCCGGGGAGAAAGACGGUUUGCUGAGAUAACUUUGAAUCUUGCUAUUAUCUUGUAUUAUACCUUUAUUCUUUUAUUCUUUUAUCUUUUUAUUUUUAUCUUUAUGGGUAACUUAAAUUCCAUACCUAUUAUUGAAUUCUUUGCACCUUCGGAGACCAGCCAUAGACCAUGGGAGUCAACAAGUCCUGCCCCUAAUUAUGAUCUGUGUCUGGAGUUGAUUGCAAUAGGUCAAAACCAACCCUUUUCUAUAGCUG
rnacentral:lncRNA from 1 species